rnacentral:rRNA from 1 species
AUUGAACGCUGGCGGCAGGCUUAACACAUGCAAGUCGAGCGGAGAUGAGGUGCUUGCACCUUAUCUUAGCGGCGGACGGGUGAGUAAUGCUUAGGAAUCUGCCUAUUAGUGGGGGACAACAUUCCGAAAGGAAUGCUAAUACCGCAUACGCCCUACGGGGGAAAGCAGGGGAUCUUCGGACCUUGCGCUAAUAGAUGAGCCUAAGUCGGAUUAGCUAGUUGGUGGGGUAGAGGCCUACCAAGGCGACGAUCUGUAGCGGGGCUGAGAGGAUGAUCCGCCACACUGGGACUGGGACCCGGCCCAGACUCCUACGGGAGGCAGCAGUGGGGAAUAUUGGACAAUGGGCGGAAGCCUGAUCCAGCCAUGCCGCGUGUGUGAAGAAGGCCUUUUGGUUGUAAAGCACUUUAAGCGAGGAGGAGGCUACCUGGAUUAAUACUCUAGGAUAGUGGACGUUACUCGCAGAAUAAGCACCGGCUAACUCUGUGCCAGCCGCCGCGGUAAAAC